GUAGGACACGAAAAAAAAAAAAAAAAAAAAAAAAAAAAAAACUCACUAAAACCAUUUCACACAUACAUACAUAUACCUAUAUAUAUAUAUAUAUAGACACAAAUGAAGAAGUAAAUUAAUUAUAUUUAUGUGCAUUACAGUUAGGGCGUUUGCUGACUUAACACAUGCAUUCGAAUGUUUACUUCAAUAUGUAGAAAAAAAAAAAAAAAUAAAAAAAAAUAAAUAGUUACAUAACAUUUUUAUAUUUGUCUCUUUUUUAUUUUAUUUUACUCAUUUUCGAAGGAUUACCAAUGGAUAUGUUACUUAUGAUUUUUGUAUUUUGUUUAAAUUCAGACAUAAAUCUGGAUAUUUAUUUUAACAUAUAUGAAGAGGCACUACUUUCAAAUAAUAAAAAAAGUAAUGCUAAUAAAAUUUUUCAAUUUUUUGGAUUGAGUAUUGAAAAAUUAAGAAAAUUUCGCUUAAAAAAUACUAAAAAAAUAUAUGACGCCUCAAGUAGCAUUUUGAAACAAAAAAUUAACAUUGGUCAUAUUUAUGAAACUUUUGAAUGGGCUAAAAUAAAGCGAUUUUAUUUUUCUUUGGUCAUUUUUGAUUUAUUCACUGAAGACAUAUUAGACGUUUCAAAAAAGUAUUUAAAAAAAAAAAAAAAAAAAAACAGCACUUAUUUUGUAUUUGUUUCGUAUAUAACAAAAUAACAUGUGUUAUGCAUUUGUUCUAAGUUUGACGUAAAAAAAAAAAAAAAAAAUAACAACAUGCUUAUAGCAACAUGCUUGUAACAUGCUUGUAACAACAUGCUUGUAACAACAUGCUUAUAACAACAUGCUUGUAACAACAUGCUUAUAACAACAUGCUUAUAACAUGUUUAUAACAACAUGCUUAUAACAACAUGCUUAUAACAACAUGUUUAUAACAACAUACCUACAAAUUGUUUAUAACAACAUACCUACAAAUUGUUUAUAACAGCUCAUUAAAAACGUUUUUUCAGCAUAAUAACACAACUGUCCAUGUGUUCUUUAAUUCGUGCUUGU
rnacentral:lncRNA from 1 species